rnacentral:rRNA from 1 species
UACGGAGGGUGCGAGCGUUGUCCGGAAUUAUUGGGCGUAAAGAGCUUGUAGGCGGUUUGUCGCGUCUGCUGUGAAAAUCCGGGGCUCAACCCCGGACUUGCAGUGGGUACGGGCGGACUAGAGUGUGGUAGGGGAGACUGGAAUUCCUGGUGUAGCGGUGGAAUGCGCAGAUAUCAGGAGGAACACCGAUGGCGAAGGCAGGUCUCUGGGCCACUACUGACGCUGAGAAGCGAAAGCAUGGGGAGCGAACAGG